GAAACUAAAAAGGUGCAAAAACUCCACAGAUGCUAGUGCCUUGCCCCGCUGAUGUGGCAUGGACAGCACCAACCUGACCAGACCAUCAUGGGAGUGAGAAGCUGUUGUUCAGAAGGUCUCCGAGCUGACAAGUUCUCACUUCCCAGAGGGAUGAGCUUUGUGCCAAGCUGUGUUGUUUGGAAACAUGAUGGUGGUAUCAGCAACACUGAACCUGUCCUUUCUCCUGUUACCCCCCUGCCCUUGGUCUUGGUGCUAAGAUAUCUCUAGAACCAUUGCUGCUAGUUGAUAGCUUUUCAUUUAUAUAAAUAUAUAUAUAUAUAUAAUAUUAUUUUAUUUUUUAAACUUUUUCAUUUGUUUUCAAUGGAGAUGUAGCAUGUUUGGAACCGAUCUCUCUCGGAGUCACUUUCACUGCCAGGGUUCACACACUGUCUUCCCCAGGAAAACACGCACUUCUACCUAGAUCUCACCUCCCACUAACCCAUUUGCCCUCAGUAGACCUGCACAGUGGACACUGGUGUGCAGCAAAGCCACUGCCCACCAUAUCAGCUCUCAGACUCACGGACACGGCUCAGCUGACGUUUGUCAGAGCUUUGGAAAUGCUUCCCCUCUAUCCCUGUGGUGAGGAGGAGAGGUGGAGCCUGCUUAGAGCACUCACAGGGAAAACCCUUCCGUCCUCUGCCCUGUCUUGGCCCCAUUGCAGUUGAAGAGGGGCACAACAGCCCCUGCCAGGCCGGUGGGCUGCAAUCUGUAGCACUUACUCACUUUCCCCCAUGCCGUACCUCAGAUAACACGUGCUGCCCCUCUCUGGCUCGUUGGGACAGUGGGAGCAAAAGUGCCAGGGCCCCUGGUUUGCCUCCUGUAGCCUUCAGGCAUGUCGCAAGCUAGGCCAGGGCAUUAAGCCUAAGUAUCAGUAUGCAACGCCUACUGAGCAAAAAAUGGUUUCAUGUGCAUAAACUGUUUUAAUUACAUUUUUUCCUGCCUUUCCCAAUAAAUUAUGUUAUCAAAUUGACCCAUUUAUCCAAAGGAGCAAGAGUUAAGCUGGAAACCCUCUGGCACAGUAAGCAAGGCAGCUCUUUGUGUGGCCACAGCACAGGGAUCUCUGUGCACAAGAUGUCUGUGGCUCUGCUGAUGGUGCUGCCUAAUUGCUGCCAGAGCUGUUUCCUUCCAGAGAGCUGGCAGGUCCUCCCAUUAGUUACGAUUUGAGGCGAUGCAAAAAGCAAAAAGCAAGUCCCUGUAGAAUUGCUGCUCCAUGAGUCCCUGGCCCAGAGUGAGCGAGGUAAACUUAGAUGUUUAGAGACAGGCAGAUGGGGAAAAGUACUCCUGCUCAAGUGUGCACAGAUGCACGAGAAACUGGGGCAGCAGGAGUAAAAAUAACAAAAAGAGACCUUCUGUAAGCUGCACUGGGUGCUAGGGAGGCUGGCAAGGCAAUUUCCCUCCUUCCCUGUUUUUUUAAUUUACUUCUGUGCUCAAUUCUGUACCUCUUUGUGGGGGAGAAAAGGAAAUGAUCUGCCUUUCUGUUUGUGGCACUGAAAGCUCCUUGGCACAUGGCUUUUUUCAUGGAGGCCAUCAAAUGGCCUGGCCUAUGUGAGGGAAGGGACACUUAGCAACAGUGUCCAGGCACCUCAGUAAGCAGGGGCAGUAUCCCAGUGCUUGUGCUGAGCCGCCUGAACUGCCUGUGUGCAGCCUCCACUCUGAGCACCUCUGCUUUUUUGCCUCUGGGGAGAAAAUGGUGCCCUGCCUUGAUAGGCAAGGUAAAAGCCACCAGACGCUUGUUGAGAAAUGAUUCCUGUAUUUGUCACUCCUUCCUGUUGGUUGCUUUGCAAUUCCCAUUCUCAUCAGUGACAUCUUUCACCCAGGUACUUAUUCCCAGUAGCAGUGGGUGGCUUUUUCUCCAGGCAGAUGGCUGAAAAAGGGAAAGCAUUUGUUUCUUUUGUAAUAACUCUGCAUGCAAUUGUGAGCAGCAGUGUCCAUGGGAAGAGCAUUUUCCCAUCACUGGACAUUGCAGAUAGCUGUGAAUAGGAAAGGUCAGAGAUCCCUUGCAUUGGUUAUGGGGGGAAAUGAGUGCUCAGUGCAGCAGCAAUAAUGCAAACAACUCCCCAUCAUCCCCCAUCAGAAAAUAGACGCAGCCUUUGUACUAGACAAGCACAGGUGCUUUGCAAGCUUUCCCUCCAGGUUUAUCCGCCUAUCUCAGAUCUGUAGCUAUUACUCACAUGGAUAGUCCUGUGGAUGGAAACGUGACUGCCAGCACGAGCAGUGCUGCGGGGAGGGGGAGAGGAAUAACAAUGCAAAGCGCCCUCGGCUUUUCGGUGCCCUGCCUGGCCAGCCUUGCCUGAGAGCAGGUGCCUUUUGGUGCUCUGUGUGCAGCCAGCUCCGGGCUGUGAGGCAGGGAGGGUACCCGGAGGGCAGAGAGAGGCCGACCCAAAUGGGAGGUCGUGGUACUUCAGCUUUAAUCAGUGCCUUCCUGCUGUUCUGAACAGAGGGGAAGCUGUUUUGUAUGUGUUGCUCACAGUUUCACGAGCAGUUGCAGCAGCAGAGAGAAGGUUUUGUUUUUCUCAGAUGAGCUCUUUAUCUUCCCCUCCCGCCCCCCCCCCCCCCCCCCCCCUUUCUAGCUAGGGCAUCUGACUGUGAAUAAUAAGCACUUCUCCAGACCCCAGAGCUUUUAUUUCUAGCCUGUGGGCUUUUGGGUUGCCCAUUUCCCCUACCCACUUCUUGCUCAGGCUCCUUGACUCUUACCGCCUGCUGCAAAGCAGAACCCAUGAAGCACAUGCAGACGUGUCCUUCUGCAGGGCUCGUCGAUGGCUGGAGCAGCCAGUGCCCUCCGGCCACAAGACCGAACUCAACAGGGAUAAUCCUUACGGAACAAGAGACCAAAGCUCUUCCCAUACCAGCAGCAGCACGCGGGAGCCGCAGGAUGAGCGGCAGAGGGCAGGGUGCCCACGUGUCUUCUGUGCUGGGGCUUGCACUGACCCUGGCUGUGUCCCCCGUGCUGGUUGAGCUUUUGCUGAUAGGAAUUCUCAGACAUGAUUCAGGCUCCAUCUAUGUCUUUCUCAUAGCACAAACUCAACCAGGUGGCCCGCAGGGUCUUCGGUGUCCCCUUUCCUUCUUAUCUUAUCCAUAUUGCUGUUUGUUUGACCAAUGGGUAAAACAACUGAAACAGGCUUGCAAAUAAGCAGCAACAUGCUCUGCUUUUGCAGAUUCCCCUCUCAGCCCUGUCAAAAGAGGUCUUAAAAGCAGAGAAAUGGUACGUUGCUCCCCCAGCCAUUGUAUUCAAUGCAGUAACGCCUAUGCAAUUCCUGUCUCCCUUGGAGACAUGUAUGAUGUGUGUGCAUGUAAGCUAGUGUAUGUAUACAGUACAUAUGCAUACCGUCUAUAUAUUGUAUAUACGCACAUCCCAGUACAUAUACACACCAUACAAAAGAUAAAAUCACAUGCUUAUAUAUCUAUAAAUAAAAUCCUAUAUAUUUAUAUAUUUCUAUGUUUUCAAUAGAUAUAAAGAUAUAAUAUAGAGAUGAUAGAAUCAACCACCCUUGUGUAAGGCUGGCCCUGUGUUCUGGCACAAGGCAUGUAACACUGAAGACGUUGGACUUUGGGAUGGUUUUAGCCAUACACUGAGGCCUACAUUUACAGGUAUAGCACUCUGCAGAGAGAGGCUUUGCUGUGGUUAGGGCAGUGGGCUCCUUGUUGGCAUGUUAACCAAGUGCUUGAUAAGGUUUGUCUAAUGGGAGUGUCUCAGUGUGGGAAUACGCUCAAGUAUCCUUGUCUUCUCAGUAAGCCUUUGUAAGGUCCAGCGUGCUCACACCUGGACAGACACAUAUCCAACCCUCAUAUGCACUUUUCUGUCUCUGCACGGAUGUGGUUUGCAGCUGAGCAUACCCGUGUUGCAAAGAUGUGGCUCUGCUUUUCCCGUCUGCCAUUGCUAGCACAGCACGGAACGACCAUGUGUUUGUGCCACGUUUUGCAUGUGGCUAUCAGUCAAAAACGCAGCGAUGGAGCUGGACUAGGGCAAGGAAAGCCAAUGUGUUAUGCAAGAGGGACAGUCACAGGAUCAGAGCUGGCAGGGCACAGUGCUGAGCCCAAACAGCCAGUGCAAAGUGGCUGUGGCAAGUCAGCCAUGCUGCGUCCGUGCACCGCUCCUCAGAGGCCUGGCCACGUGGCAGACUGCUGCAGACAGGCCGCUGCUGGGCCUGCAGGCUCUGGCAGGGCCUGGCAGUCCCUCACUGCUCUCUCCGUUGUCAUUUUCACCUUCUGCUGGGAGGAGGGUGGGCGUUAUCCUGACCGUUGGUUACACUGGUAUCGCACUGUGCGAGCUCCCCCAAACUCCGCACCCCCAGGCUUCUCGCCACCACACAACUGGUAAUCCACCUCAGCCGUGUCCCGCCUCAGCCGUGGGCAGCUCCCAGCCCCGCUCCUCACCAACCUCAUGGAGGGUAUCCUCUCCCCAGCCCCCUCCUCCGGAUGCCACUGACACUCGUGCAGGCCUGGCAAGCGGGCACACUGCUGCCAGGCCAUGGACUCUGAUGCACUGCACCUCACGUCAAAUAAGCUCGCUGUGCCGGGUAGGGGAACGCAUCUCCUAUGCUGUAAUGUCCCAGAUGCUAUGGGAGGGCUGCAGAGCUUUCUGCCAGUGUGGGGUCCUCACCCGACUGUUGGCGAGAUGUGUUUCUCCUUCUCGCUUCCAGAAAGCAGAAAGUUUUGUCCCAGACCUCUCUGUACCCCCACCUAAGCACAGCCCUGCUGAACUGUUUCAAGCUGUCUCUCACUCACCCACCAUACACACACACACACACCACAAUGAGAGAAAAAUAUCUAGAAGUCUAUUACUACAUAUGUAUUAAUAUGUUAAUAUCACUCUUUUGGAGAAUAUUAAAAUGUUAUUACUUUACAGACUAUGCUUUAUAGUACCUGUGUGAAAGGACCUAGGACACUGGAUACGAAUAGAGCUAUGUUGAUAUAUCAUGGUAUGUACACGAGAAAUUUCCUUUUGUCAUAUUAUCCUUGUAAUGUAAAAUGAUUGUUAAUAAAAAAAAAAAAAAA
ensembl:lncRNA